rnacentral:tRNA from 1 species
GCAAAUGGGCUCAAGAAGUUGCAUCGCACGCAACAGGUCAGGGGUUCGAAUCCCCUAUGCUCCA